UACGUAGGGCGCAAGCGUUGUCCGGAAUUACUGGGCGUAAAGCGCACGUAGGCGGCUUUGUAAGUUAGAGGUGAAAGCCCAGGGCUUAACUCUGGAAUUGCCUUUAAGACUGCAUCGCUAGAAUCGUGGAGAGGUGAGUGGAAUUCCGAGUGUAGAGGUGAAAUUCGUAGAUAUUCGGAAGAACACCAGUGGCGAAGGCGACUCACUGGACACGUAUUGACGCUGAGGUGCGAAAGCGUGGGGAGCAAACAGG
rnacentral:rRNA from 1 species